CCUACAGUCAUUCUUCCACACAUAAAGGGAAAACGGACUCACUAGGAGGACUUAGACUCUUUCAGCUUGAACUGUUAGCCAAUGGUGGAAAUGCAAGAAUGCUGAAGUUGUGCCUUCGGAGCCAAUAGAGUGGAUUUGUGUGUCCCACAUGACUGUGUUUCCCCUGUCUUUCACAUGGGCAGUAUUUAGUUCAAUUCAGAACUGCAGAUAGUAUAGCGUGCAGAGCAGCAAUGGGAUGUCUGAGCACAAGUGGCUGACUUCCAGGCGACUUCAGGAAGCACAUUUGUAAUAUUUCUCAUGAAUUAAACGGGAUUCUACACUCUUGACAUCCUCUGACCCUCCUUGUCUCUGCAGAAGGAGACAGCGACCUGCACAGCACAGCAAAACUGAUCAUAACUUCUGAGCUUGCUGUGCAUCUGUAGAAGCAGUCAUUUGGGUACUUACACUUACAAAACUUCAGAAUCCCUUGCCUGGAUAACGUUGUUUCAUUUGUCUUGCUUUAGACAAAUCACCGCAGAGCUGCAGACCUGCAAAGGAAGUGAACUGAGGUCAAUUUGACCAACAUCAUCUGUGUCAGCUUGCCAGAGGUUGAUGAAACAUGUUAUCAGAUCUCCAAGCAAUGAAAACUAUUAUCUCCUACAGAAGAAUGAACCUUCCCAUAUUAUGUUGUUUAUUAGCACCACAUUAACAAUGUGCCACCUCAGCCAAAUGGUCAGGCAGCACCAUGGUCCCAGGUACAAGGAAAAGAUCAUUAUGAAAUUCUACCUGCCUCAUUUGCGCAAAUCAAAAGACCACAAACCUCAGAAAAUCGCUGUGUGGAAGAAACACACUGGGCCAACCUAUCAUGUCGACAGUACACAAAGAACAGCCCAGUUUGGUAUUCUUUCUGCUCUGAAGGACUCUCGUGUCAGAUGAGCAGCCAGGUGCCAGCUGUUGUAAAAGCAGAUGCCACUGACGUCAAUGGAGCAGUGCCAGUUUACACUAGCUGAGAAUCUGAUCCCAAGUGUGUUAGAAGCAUUUUUAGAUACUGACACUGGAAUUCAUUUUUGCAACACAAUUAAAAAUACAUCCAUGCACUGCAUUUCUUUCUGUCACCAGGUGUAUAACUGGAAGCCUGUUAACAGACUGUGGGAGAGAGCAAGUAGGAGCUGGAAGCAACCAGCAACUGUAUCCAUGAAAUAAGUUUGCAAUACAAGUAUCAAUACUAUUGUUCUGUUGGCUUUUAUACAAAUUAAUAUUUGCCUUUAUAAAGCCUUAACUCCACAACCCGGGAACCGUUCAAUGUCAAAAGAACAAAAGAUGCUGAAAGCUGCACAAUCUAUAUUUAUGUAUAACCAUAUAAACAUGUUAAUAUGAUGUUUUAAUCAGUGUGAAAACUGAAUAGAAUGUUUUAAUGCAUCAUGAGGGAAACUAUCUAAAAACUAUCCAAGUCCCCAAGCCUGGUAUCUGCAUAUUCACCUAAGUAUUUGCUCUUAAGCAAUCUCACAGGUUUGUAUUGUUAAAAGUACUGAAACAGCUGUUUGAAGUAACCUGUGAGCCAGACCUGUCUGAUACCUAUCAUUUAUAUUUCAUCAAACAUUUAUGUGGCAGAGGGAGGAGUAAUGAAGAGAGGAAGAGGUAGGGUGAUAAGCAAGGCACAUUACCCCUUCAUAGUUCCAGGAACCACUCUUGGAUUAUUGUUUUACACAAAGCAGCCAUUAAAAAUGUGUACUGUAUGACAGUUGUCAGUAUUAACUAGAACAAUGAAGUAGAACAUUGGACUUCUGAUUCAAGAUAUCAAGGUCAAAAUGGAAAACCUAAGCAAUUAAAGAUACAAUUCAUAUAGCAUUGAAGUAAUUGUCUGUGCAGCACAACACCCAUAUCUUCAAUUUAGGUCAGGCCAUCAAAAGGAGGAAGAAGAGUGAAGAGUGAAGAUGAGAUGCUCUACUUCACACAGUUGCCCUCUGGAAGGACUGGCAAAGGCAGUCACUUAAAUUAAGUACAGGUCAUCAGACAAGAUAACUAAUCUAUUCCAAAGACAGGCAGCUCUAGCAAUCCAAAUCCCUAUGGCCUUUACAGCGACACAAUGAACUACUUCCUCAUGUACCUCUGUCAAUUCAUGUUAGGUUCCAAUUUUUUUAAAGCAAUAUUUCAUGCACACCAUGACCCUAUUGCUCAUAGCAAGGAAAGUGCUUUGGUUUAUUUAUGAUCUACUAACCUUAAAUAAAAAAAACAACCCAUACA
rnacentral:lncRNA from 14 species